UACAGAGGGUGCGAGCGUUGUUCGGAAUUAUUGGGCGUAAAGGGCGCGUAGGCGGUGCGGUAAGUCACCUGUGAAAUCUCCUGGCUCAACUGGGAGCUUGCAGGCGAAACUGCCGUGCUGGAGUGUGGGAGAGGUGCGUGGAAUUCCUGGUGUAGCGGUGAAAUGCGUAGAUAUCAGGAGGAGCACCUGUGGCGAAAGCGGCGCACUGGACCACAACUGACGCUGAGGCGCGAAAGCUAGGGGAGCAAACAGG
rnacentral:rRNA from 1 species